rnacentral:rRNA from 1 species
AACGAACGCUGGCGGCAGGCCUAACACAUGCAAGUCGAACGCCCUAGCAAUAGGGAGUGGCAGACGGGUGAGUAACGCGUGGGAACGUGCCCUUCGGUUCGGAAUAACUCAGGGAAACUUGAGCUAAUACCGGAUACGUGCGAGAGCAGAAAGAUUUAUCGCCGAAGGAUCGGCCCGCGUCCGAUUAGCUAGUUGGUGAGGUAAUGGCUCACCAAGGCGACGAUCGGUAGCUGGUCUGAGAGGAUGAUCAGCCACACUGGGACUGAGACGCGGCCCAGACUCCUACGGGAGGCAGCAGUGGGGAAUAUUGGACAAUGGGCGCAAGCCUGAUCCAGCCAUGCCGCGUGAGUGAUGAAGGCCCUAGGGUUGUAAAGCUCUUUCGCCAGGGACGAUAAUGACGGUACCUGGAUAAGAAGCCCCGGCUAACUUCGUGCCAGCAGCCGCCGUAA